rnacentral:rRNA from 1 species
UACGUAGGUGGCAAGCGUUGUCCGGAUUUACUGGGCGUAAAGGGCGUGCAGGCGGUCUGUUAAGUCUAGGGUGAAAGCUCCCGGCUCAACUGGGAGAGGUCCUUGGAUACUGGCGGACUUGAGGGAGGCAGAGGAAAGUGGAAUUCCCGGUGUAGUGGUGAUAUGCGUAGAUAUCGGGAGGAACACCAGUGGCGAAGGCGGCUUUUCUGGGCCUACCUGACGCUGAGACGCGAAAGCGUGGGAGCGAACCGG